UGUGUGUUAUUAAAAUGAACGAGAGUUAUUAUCUUUUAACAUGACAGAUCUAAAUUGUUCAUAUAAUAUACACCAAAGUUUAUUUACAUGAAGGAGACCAUAUAAUUUAGAAAAAAAUAAAGAUACAAUAAAUACCUACCAUCGACAAUAAAAGACAAGCUUUGUCAACAUGAACAAAAGCUUCAGCUUCAGCAAGAAUAGAACAAUUCUAGCACAUUGACAACCAACUUUGUUACAACUCAAAUACAACAUGUCUAGGGCAACUAUAAGCACCUAUGAGAACUAGCCUUGGAGGGUCCAAAGUUGCCACAACUCAAGCAUGACAUAUUUAGGGGACUGCAAGCACCUAUCAUGAUAAGAGAACCAUCAUCGAAAGGUCCAAAGUAGCAAGCAUAAUCAAUAAGAAAAUUAAGCCUCCACAAAGCUAAAGAGGAUGACAACAAAUCUAUCCCUAAAAGCACUUGAAGAUGGAAAUACUAUUUGCAAAACUAAAACUUGGAUACGAUAGGACAAGACAAGACAAAUUCACCAUUUCAUAAGAAAAGGGAAGGCUUAUUAGAUAAAAGAAAAAAAACAAAAAACUCAUAGGACUUAAAACAAUGACUCCAAAUCAAGAUGUGGAAUCAUUUCAUAUUUCAAAACAUCUUCAAAAUAGAAACAAAUCAAGAAGCCGAUGAAGAGCCACCAUUUGAGAGCCAACCCAUUUUCCAAGAGGAAUUGCUAGUGGCUAAUAAAGAUUCAGUGAUGACAGACACCAACAUCUCUCCGUCACAACCCAUGAAAGUAGAAAAGAUAACAUCAACAAACUAAAGAAAGGGAAGACACUUUGAGUGAAGUAGGAGAAAAGCAUGGAGAUGAAAAAUGAAAGGGACAAGCAACACCGGCCAACAACUGAACAACCGCUCACACAACAUUGAAACAUGUUUUAGAGGCAAUAGGUGGGUCAAAAAGAAAGUCCUAAGAUUUUUAUUUUGUC
rnacentral:lncRNA from 1 species